rnacentral:tRNA from 3 species
GCUCCUUUGGCCUAGUGGUUAUGGCGUGGCUCUUAUGUAGCUGAAGUCGAGGGUUCGACUCCCUCAAGGAGCA